CACAAAAUAUUUGAUUGCAUAACAUGAAUUGUCAUUUGAAUGAAAAGCAAAAGGGCUUGUUUGAUGGAGACCCUUAGCAAUCUGUAGCCACCUAUUUUACUCAAAUGGAAGGUUUUGAUGCAGAAGUUUCUGGUUGGUGUUAUCUUGAUGCUCUCUUGUUAUGCCAUUGAAUCGGCAGGCCAAGAAUCCUUCAGAUCCAUUACAAGAUCCUAUUACAGAGGAGCUGCAGGCGCACUAUUAGUCUAUGAUAUCACCAGGAGGGAGACUUUUAAUCAUCUGGCAGGCCAACAUAUCACCUUCCAAUUUCAGAAGUUUCAUGUUUUGUAAUCAAAUGUUGAUGUACAUUGUUUGAAUGUUAGUUCGGUACGAUAUUUUCUGAGUUGAAAUGUUGGUAGUGUGGAUUUAAUACUUUGUAGUUUUUAUACUAUACUGAUGUAUGUUGGCACUUAUCAUUAUGGUUGAUUAUGCUCAACAUAAUCACUUUUAUAU